rnacentral:snRNA from 1 species
AUUGCUUCUCGGCCUUUUGGCUAAGAUCAAGUGUAGUAUCUGUUCUUAUCAGUUUAAUAUCUGAUACGUCCUCUAUCCGAGGGAAAAAAAAUAAAAAAUACACAAA